rnacentral:rRNA from 3 species
CCGUAGGUGAACCUGCGGAAGGAUCAUUACUGAGUGCGGGCUGCCUCCGGGCGCCCAACCUCCCACCCGUGAAUACCUAACACUGUUGCUUCGGCGGGGAACCCCCUCGGGGGCGAGCCGCCGGGGACUACUGAACUUCAUGCCUGAGAGUGAUGCAGUCUGAGUCUGAAUAUAAAAUCAGUCAAAACUUUCAACAAUGGAUCUCUUGGUUCCGGCAUCGAUGAAGAACGCAGCGAACUGCGAUAAGUAAUGUGAAUUGCAGAAUUCAGUGAAUCAUCGAGUCUUUGAACGCACAUUGCGCCCCCUGGCAUUCCGGGGGGCAUGCCUGUCCGAGCGUCAUUGCUGCCCAUCAAGCCCGGCUUGUGUGUUGGGUCGUCGUCCCCCCCGGGGGACGGGCCCGAAAGGCAGCGGCGGCACCGUGUCCGGUCCUCGAGCGUAUGGGGCUUUGUCACCCGCUCGACUAGGGCCGGCCGGGCGCCAGCCGACGUCUCCAACCAUUUUUCUUCAGGUUGACCUCGGAUCAGGUAGGGAUACCCGCUGAACUUAAGCAUAUCAAUAAGCGGAGGAAAAGAAACCAACCGGGAUUGCCUCAGUAACU